UACGUAGGGUGCAAGCGUUAAUCGGAAUUACUGGGCGUAAAGCGUGCGCAGGCGGUCUCGUAAGCUGGGUGUGAAAGCCCCGGGCUUAACCUGGGAAUGGCAUUCAGGACUGCGAGGCUCGAGUGUGGCAGAGGGAGGUGGAAUUCCACGUGUAGCAGUGAAAUGCGUAGAGAUGUGGAGGAACACCGAUGGCGAAGGCAGCCUCCUGGGCCAGCACUGACGCUCAUGCACGAAAGCGUGGGGAGCAAACAGG
rnacentral:rRNA from 1 species